UUAAAUGCUAUUUAAUUUAAUGCACCUAUAUACUUGGUAAAAGGUGGAAGGCUCGGCCUUUCUAGCCUGGUGUUUUGUUCCACCUUUGCCCCCUUAGUUUCCGGCUACCGGUGUUAUGUUCCAUAAAUGAGCGCUCCUAACACGAUCGGGGUUGUUAUGGGGACCCCCUUGAUAAUUCGUUUUAGAUUAAAGAUGGUCUGGCAAGGCCCAACUUUGGUA
rnacentral:lncRNA from 1 species